ACGGGAGGCAGCAGUGAGGAAUAUUGGUCAAUGGGCGCUAGCCUGAACCAGCCAUGCCGCGUGCAGGAAGACGGCCCUACGGGUUGUAAACUGCUUUUCUGCGGGAAGAACCUCUUGUACCUUGUACAAGAUUGACUGGUACUGCCGGAAUAAGCAUCGGCUAACUCCGUGCCAGCAGCCCGCGGUAAUACGGGAGGAUGCAAGCGUUAUCCGGAUUCAUUGGGUUUAAAGGGUGCGCAGACGGUGGAGCAAGUCAGUGGUGAAAGCCCGGAGCUCAACUUCGGGAUUGCCAUUGAAACUGUUUCACUUGAGUGUAGUCGAGGACGGCGGAAUGAGUUGUGUAGCGGUGAAAUGCAUAGAUAUAACUCAGAACACCAAUUGCGAAGGCAGCUGUCUAGACUACAACUGACGCUGAGGCACGAAAGCGUGGGGAGCGAACAGGAUUAGAUACCCUGGUAGUCCACGCUGUAAACGAUGAUCACUCGUUGUUGGCUACUUGGUAGUCAGUGACUAAGGGAAACCAUUAAGUGAUCCACCUGGGGAGUACGUCGGCAACGAUGAAACUCAAAGGAAUUGACGGGGGCCCGCACAAGCGGAGGAACAUGUGGUUUAAUUCGAUGAUACGCGAGGAACCUUACCUGGGCUUAAAUGCAGGCUGCAUUCCCGUGAAAGCGGGAUUUCCUACGGGACUGCCUGCAAGGUGCUGCAUGGUUGUCGUCAGCUCGUGCCGUGAGGUGUCGGGUUAAGUCCCAUAACGAGCGCAACCCCUAUCGCUAGUUGCCAGCAUGUAAUGGAGGGGAAUCUAGCGAGACUGCCGGUGUAAACCGGAGGAAGGUGGGGACGACGUCAAAUCAGCACGGCCCUUACGUCCAGGGCUACACACGUGUUACAAUGGCCGGUACAAAGAGCAGCCACCUGGCGACAGGGUGCUAAUCUCCAAAGCCGGUCUCAGUUCGGAUCGAAGUCUGCAAUUCGACUUCGUGAAGGUGGAUUCGCUAGUAAUCGCGCAUCAGCCAUGGCGCGGUGAAUAAGUUCCCGGG
rnacentral:rRNA from 1 species